rnacentral:snRNA from 1 species
GGAUGUGAGGGCAAUCAGACUGCAAUAUCUGUCACUCCAUUGAUCACUAGGGUUAAUUCGACUGAUCUGGCUCGCUAGGCGGGUGUCCCCUUCCUCCUUCACUGCUCCAAGUGCGUCCCUCCCGAAGCUGCAUGCUCAGAGGACGACCGUCCCUGCUAGAGGAGGACCGGUCUUCGGUCAAGGAUAUACGAGUAGCUGCAUUCCCCUGCUAGAACCUCCAAAUAAGCUAACGGUCUGGGAAAGCAGUGGAGGACGGCUCAAGUCCUU